rnacentral:rRNA from 1 species
UACGGGGGGGGCAAGCGUUGUCCGGAAUCAUUGGGCGUAAAGCGCGUGUAGGCGGCUGGGCAAGUCCGCUCUGAAAGCCCGAGGCUCAACCUCGGGAGGCGAGUGGAUACUGCUCAGCUCGAGUCCGGAAGAGGAGUGUGGAAUUCCUGGUGUAGCGGUGAAAUGCGCAGAUAUCAGGAGGAACACCGAUGGCGAAGGCAGGUCUCUGGGCAUUAACUGACGCUGAGGCGCGAAAGCUAGGGGAGCGAACGGG